AACAUCUCUGACAACUGGCGGAGACGUGGAUAACCACAGGGGAGUCAGAGAUUUGUGAAGCCGACCGUCUGGGCAGUAUUU
rfam:Firmicutes bacterium CAG:646 genomic scaffold, scf12